rnacentral:rRNA from 2 species
CAGCGAAAUGCGAUACCUAGUGUGAAUUGCAGAAUUCCGCGAAUCAUCGAGUCUUUGAACGCAAGUUGCGCCCGAGGCUUGUCCCGAGGGCAUGCCUGCCUGAGCGUCACCGCACUCCCACCCGACGAACCCUCGUCGCGAGUGGAACUGGCCGUCCGGGGUCGGGCGUCGAUGCCCAGUGCCGCGGUCGGCUGAAAUGGAGCGUUCCGGACGUAGCCGGAGAGGGGGAUAGCGAGAAGGUGAUCCGCCUUCGGGCGGAGUCUAUUUUGACAGCGUCCCUCGAUCCGGAGGGUCCCACGGAACUCGGAGCGGGAGCUCGCCCGGUCGAUCGUCCGCGGUCGACCGGGAGAGUCACACCACGGCUCGGACCUCAGAUCAGGCAAGAUUACCCGCUGAGUUUAAGCAUAUCACU